rnacentral:rRNA from 1 species
AUUACUUAGGCCCUACCUCGGACUGCAUUGGAACUGAUUUACUUGAGUGCGAUAGAGGACAGUGGAACUCCAUGUGUAGCGGUGAAAUGCGUAGAUAUGUGGAAGAACACCAGUGGCGAAAGCGGCUUGCUAGAUCGUAACUGACGUUGAGGCUCGAAAGUAUGGGUAGCAAACGGGAUUAGAUACCCCGGUAGUCCAUGCCGUAAACGAUGGGUGCUAGUUGUUAAAAGGUUUCCGCCUCCUAGUGACGUAGCAAACGCAUUAAGCACCCCGCCUGAGGAGUACGGCCGCAAGGCUAAAACUUAAAGGAAUUGACGGGGACCCGCACAAGCGGUGGAGCAUGUGGUUUAAUUCGA